CGUCUGCUCCUGACGCUUUCCGUGGACGUGCGCGUUUUCUCGUUUGCUUUGUAGUUGAAAACUUUCUGUGCCUGCAAAUGUUCCAGCCAUGUCGGAAAAAUUGAGGAAACGGCGCAAGACGUGAUGCGCGGCUGUAUGGCGUGGCCACUCGAUGAUGAACAGCAGGGCGAAAUAUUUCCGUUUCCCAGCGGACGAAAGAUGUGACAUAUGGCGAAAUUACGCCAAAUGGGGAGUCCUGGCGAUGCUGAGAUGUACCAUGGCCAGCUGCCGCCUCUGCUUGAUCGGGCCACUUCACAGAAAAUCAGGGUCCUCGCCGACCCUGCCAUACGAGGCUGUUGUGGUAGGCUAUGCCGACUGUUGGAGUGGGAGAGCGGUCCCUGAUCGAUGAAGGUUCUACACCGCCUCAGCGAAGCCAAAAGCGAAAAAUAUACUCGCCACAGACUGCAGGCGUCAUCAACCGACUGAGGAAUGAUGCACAAAGGUAUCGAAAGUCAGUGAAGUUAAAGAGCUGCUGAAAGAUUACCAUGAGAGAAGCACUAGAGAAGUUUAUUUAUCGUGUGAGCCCAGAGUCUACCAACUCUUGCAGUGCCAGGUGACACUCCAUUAUCACAGAAGGAAGGGAAGAACAUGGAGAAAUGUUUUCUAGAGCGCAUUGGUGCAGUUGUGCAAUACUUUUA
rnacentral:lncRNA from 1 species